rnacentral:rRNA from 1 species
AUCCUGGCUCAGGAUGAACGCGAGCGGCGCGCUUAACGCAUGCAAGUCGAGCGAUGAGGCUCCCUUCGGGGAGUACAUCAGCGGCAGACGGGUGAGUAACACGUAGAUAACCUGCCCUCAAGACGGGGACAACCGGUGGAAACAGCGGCUAAUACCCGAUAUGCUCACAGGAUCGGGAGAUCGAGUGAGGAAAGCGCCCCUUCGGGGGAGAGUGUUUGAGGAGGGAUCUGCGGCCCAUCAGCUAGUUGGUGAGGUAACGGCUCACCAAGGCGAAGACGGGUAGGGGGUGUGAGAGCAUGGCCCCCCACAACGGGACUGAGACACGGCCCAUACUCCUACGGGAGGCAGCAGCGGGGAAUAUUGCGCAAUGGACGGAAGUCAGACGCAGCGACGCCGCGUGGGUGAGGAAGGCCUUCGGGUUGUAAAGCCCUUUUCAGGGGAGCGAGAAAGGACGGUACCCUUGGAAUAAGCGUCGGCUAACUACGUGCCAGCAGCCGCGGUAAGACGUAGGACGCAAGCGUUAUCCGGAUUUACUGGGCGUAAAGCGCCUGUAGGCGGUCAAGUAAGUCGGAUGUGAAAGCCCCGUGCUCAACGCGGGGAAGCCAUUCGAUACUGCGUGACUAGAGAACGGCAGAAGGAAACGGAAUUUCUGGUGUAGCGGUAAAAUGCGCAGAGAUCAGAAAGAACACCGAUGGCGAAGGCAGUUUCCUAGGCCGCAUCUGACGCUGAGAGGCGAAAGCUAGGGGAGCAAACAGGAUUAGAGACCCUGGUAGUCCUAGCUGUAAACGAUGGAUGCUAGGUGUGGGCCGGAAAGGUCCGUGCCGUAGUUAACGCGAUAAGCAUCCCGCCUGGGGAGUACGGCCGCAAGGCUAAAACUCAAACGAAUUGACGGGGACCCGCACAAGCAGCGGGAGCGUGUGGUUUAAUUCGAUGCUACACGCA